rnacentral:rRNA from 2 species
CCUAACACAUGCAAGUCGAACGGUAACAUUUCUAGCUUGCUAGAAGAUGACGAGUGGCGGACGGGUGAGUAAUGCUUGGGAACUUGCCUUUGCGAGGGGGAUAACAGUUGGAAACGACUGCUAAUACCGCAUAAUGUCUUCGGACCAAACGGGGCUUCGGCUCCGGCGCAAAGAGAGGCCCAAGUGAGAUUAGCUAGUUGGUAAGGUAACGGCUUACCAAGGCGACGAUCUCUAGCUGUUCUGAGAGGAAGAUCAGCCACACUGGGACUGAGACACGGCCCAGACUCCUACGGGAGGCAGCAGUGGGGAAUAUUGCACAAUGGGGGAAACCCUGAUGCAGCCAUGCCGCGUGUGUGAAGAAGGCCUUCGGGUUGUAAAGCACUUUCAGUUGUGAGGAAAAGUUAGUAGUUAAUACCUGCUAGCCGUGACGUUAACAACAGAAGAAGCACCGGCUAACUCCGUGCCAGCAGCCGCGGUAAUACGGAGGGUGCGAGCGUUAAUCGGAAUUACUGGGCGUAAAGCGCACGCAGGCGGUUUGUUAAGCUAGAUGUGAAAGCCCCGGGCUCAACCUGGGAUGGUCAUUUAGAACUGGCAGACUAGAGUCUUGGAGAGGGGAGUGGAAUUCCAGGUGUAGCGGUGAAAUGCGUAGAUAUCUGGAGGAACAUCAGUGGCGAAGGCGACUCCCUGGCCAAAGACUGA